rnacentral:rRNA from 1 species
GGUGAGUAACGCGUAGGUAACCUGCCUAGUAGCGGGGGAUAACUAUUGGAAACGAUAGCUAAUACCGCAUAACAAUGGGUGACACAUGUCAUUUAUUUGAAAGGGGCAAUUGCUCCACUACAAGAUGGACCUGCGUUGUAUUAGCUAGUAGGUGAGGUAACGGCUCACCUAGGCGACGAUACAUAGCCGACCUGAGAGGGUGAUCGGCCACACUGGGACUGAGACACGGCCCAGACUCCUACGGGAGGCAGCAGUAGGGAAUCUUCGGCAAUGGGGGCAACCCUGACCGAGCAACGCCGCGUGAGUGAAGAAGGUUUUCGGAUCGUAAAGCUCUGUUGUAAGUCAAGAACGAGUGUGAGAGUGGAAAGUUCACACUGUGACGGUAGCUUACCAGAAAGGGACGGCUAACUACGUGCCAGCAGCCGCGGUAAUACGUAGGUCCCGAGCGUUGUCCGGAUUUAUUGGGCGUAAAGCGAGCGCAGGCGGUUUGAUAAGUCUGAAGUUAAAGGCUGUGGCUCAACCAUAGUUCGCUUUGGAAACUGUCAAACUUGAGUGCAGAAGGGGAGAGUGGAAUUCCAUGUGUAGCGGUGAAAUGCGUAGAUAUAUGGAGGAACACCGGUGGCGAAAGCGGCUCUCUGGUCUGUAACUGACGCUGAGGCUCGAAAGCGUGGGGAGCGAACAGGAUUAGAUACCCUGGUAGUCCACGCCGUAAACGAUGAGUGCUAGGUGUUGGAUCCUUUCCGGGAUUCAGUGCCGCAGCUAACGCAUUAAGCACUCCGCCUGGGGAGUACGACCGCAAGGUUGAAACUCAAAGGAAUUGACGGGGGCCCGCACAAGCGGUGGAGCAUGUGGUUUAAUUCGAAGCAACGCGAAGAACCUUACCAGGUCUUGACAUCCCGAUGCUAUUUCUAGAGAUAGAAAGUUACUUCGGUACAUCGGUGACAGGUGGUGCAUGGUUGUCGUCAGCUCGUGUCGUGAGAUGUUGGGUUAAGUCCCGCAACGAGCGCAACCCCUAUUGUUAGUUGCCAUCAUUCAGUUGGGCACUCUAGCGAGACUGCCGGUAAUAAACCGGAGGAAGGUGGGGAUGACGUCAAAUCAUCAUGCCCCUUAUGACCUGGGCUACACACGUGCUACAAUGGUUGGUACAACGAGUUGCGAGUCGGUGACGGCAAGCUAAUCUCUUAAAGCCAAUCUCAGUUCGGAUUGUAGGCUGCAACUCGCCUACAU